CGCGGGCGGAGGCUUCCGGGGCUGGGGGCGGUGCCACGUGCAGUGCCGGCGGCGCACGGCAGAGGGCGUAGAGGAGCUACCGCCGCCCUCCCGGAUCCCCACGGCGCGGUCCGCGACGCCCGCCCUGCCGCCGCCUGGCCGAAGCCUCUCCAAGGCCAAGGCCACCCUCGGCCCCGCCCCGCCGCAACCGCCGCCCCGGAGUGUCGGUCGAAGAUCACCCUAGGCCCACGCCCUCUGCCCGCCCCGGACGCGCCACCCCCUUCCUGGGCCUCCCUCCCUCCUUCCGCUCCAGAUGAAGAAAAUGAGGCCCAGGAUGGACCUUGUUCUAUCUGGAAAAAGACAGAAAAGGGACCUUAGGACUGGAAAGGCAACUAUAGGAGCAGCACCCCCUGGUGGCGUUGGGGACCCAAGGUCCAGGGCUGGGAAUAUAGCUCAGUUGCACCACACCUGCCUGCCAAACAUUUGAUUCCCAGUACCAGAAAAAAGGAAAAAAAAAAAAAAGAAAGAAAGAAAAGAAAAAUAAAUUCUUAGGUCCAGCUGAAAUCCCUAAGAUAGAGAAAUGGUAUUAAGAUUGAUUUGGAAGACAAGCACAGUGGCCCCAAGGAUCACAAGUUUGAGACCAGUCUGGGCAAGUUGAUAAGAGCCAGCUUCAAAAAACAGACUGCUGAGG
rnacentral:lncRNA from 1 species